rnacentral:rRNA from 1 species
AACCUGCCUUUGAGAAGGGGAUAACUGUCCGAAAGGAUAGCUAAUACCCUAUAUUGCCUUUUGUCACUAAGGCAAAAGGUGAAAGCGAGGCUGUCAAAGGCUUCGGCUCAAAGAGGGGUUCGCGUCCUAUCAGGUAGUUGGUGGGGUAAUGGCCUACCAAGCCAAUGACGGGUAGCUGGUCUUAGAGGAUGAUCAGCCACAGCGGGACUGAGACACGGCCCGCACCCCUACGGGGGGCAGCAGUGGGGAAUCGUGGGCAAUGGGCGCAAGCCUGACCCCGCAAUGCCGCGUGAGGGAAGAAGCCCUUCGGGGUGUAAACCUCUGUCAGAUGGGAAGAUGGGACUAGGGGCUAAUACCUCCUGGUCUUGACGGUACCAUCAGAGGAAGGGACGGCUA